CAGUCGCCGCGGGAAUACGUAGGGUGCAAGCGUUAAUCGGAAUUACUGGGCGUAAAGCGUGCGCAGGCGGUUAUAUAAGACAGAUGUGAAAUCCCCGGGCUCAACCUGGGAACUGCAUUUGUGACUGUAUAGCUAGAGUACGGCAGAGGGGGAUGGAAUUCCGCGUGUAGCAGUGAAAUGCGUAGAUAUGCGGAGGAACACCGAUGGCGAAGGCAAUCCCCUGGGCCUGUACUGACGCUCAUGCACGAAAGCGUGGGGAGCAAACAGGAUUAGAUACCCGAGUAGUCCCUGUCUCUUAUAA
rnacentral:rRNA from 1 species